rfam:Mesonia phycicola strain DSM 21425 genome assembly, contig: Ga0070602_106
ACGAUGAAGAGUUUGAUCCUGGCUCAGGAUGAACGCUAGCGGCAGGCUUAACACAUGCAAGUCGAACGGUAACAGCAGAGCUUGCUCUGGCUGACGAGUGGCGCACGGGUGCGUAACGCGUAUACAAUCUACCUAUUACUGGGGUAUAGCCCAGAGAAAUUUGGAUUAAUCCCCCAUAGUAU